rnacentral:rRNA from 1 species
AUUGAACGCUGGCGGCAUGCUUUACACAUGCAAGUCGAACGGUAACAGGGUGCUUGCACCGCUGACGAGUGGCGAACGGGUGAGUAAUGCGUCGGAACGUGCCGAGUAGUGGGGGAUAACGCAGCGAAAGUUGUGCUAAUACCGCAUACGUACUGAGGUAGAAAGUGGGGGACCUUCGGGCCUAACGCUAUUCGAGCGUCCGACGUCUGAUUAGCUAGUAGGUGGGGUAAAGGCCUACCAAGGCAACGAUCUGUAGUGCGUCUGAGAGGACGCCCCGCCACACUGGGACCGGGCCACGGCCCCGACUCCUACGGGAGGCCGCAGUGUGGAAUUUUGGACAAGGGGCGCAAGCCUGAUCCAGCACUGCCGCGUGCAGGAAGAAGGCCUUCGGGUUGUAAACUGCUUUUGUCAGAGAAGAAAUCCUCUAGGUUAAUACCCUUGGGGGGAUGACGGUACCUGAAGAAUAAGCUCCGGCUAACUACGUGCCAGCAGCCGCCGUAAUAC